rnacentral:rRNA from 1 species
UGCAAGUCGAACGCAGUAGCAAUACUGAGUGGCAAACGGGUGAGUAUAAUGUGGGUAUCUGCCUUUUGGUUUGGAAUAACAUGAGGAAACUUAUGCUAAUACCGAAUAAGCCUUCACAGGGAAAGUUUUAACGCCGAAAGAUGAGCCCGCACUUGAUUAGUUUGUUGGUGAGGUAAUGGCUCACCAAGACAAUUAUCAAUAGCUGGUCUGAGAGGACGAUCAGCCACAUUGGGACUGAGACACGGCCCAGACUCCUACGGGAGGCAGCAGUAAGGAAUCUUGCACAAUGGGGGAAACCCUGAUGCAGCGAUGCCGCGUGAGUGAAGAAGGCCCUUGGGUUGUAAAACUCUUUCGUCGGGGAAGAAAAUGACUGUACCCGAAUAAGAAGGUCCGGCUAACUUCGUGCCAGCAGCCGCGGUAAUACGAAGGGACCUAGCGUAGUUCGGAAUUACUGGGCUUAAAGAGCUCGUAGGUGGUUAAAAUAGUUGAUGGUGAAAUCCCAAGGCUCAACCUUGGAACUGCC